GCCACCCUAAGUCCCCUUACCAAAUAUUUUCUCUCUAUACUAUUUGAACAUAAGAGUAGGCACCGUCUUCUUUUUCCUAAAUCACUUCAACUCAGGUAAGUAUUUCAAGAUUUUAUUCUUCUCAUUACAUUGAUGGCAAUUUUGAAUUUGAUAUCAUGUUUAGUUGAAUAAGAAGUGUGCCAAAAUUUAUGAAUCUCUUAUUAUAUGUAUGAUGUGCGAAAAAUUGGUGCCUAGUUUGAUUUGCAUUUUUAGGACUUGCUCCAUGUAUGCGUUUGAUUUUUCUAUAAAUGGAAGAGUUAUAUGGUUGUUGUGAUGCUAUGGGGCGGAAUAUAUUUAUGGUAGAUAUUGGAUACCUUCUCUAUAAAUAGGGGAACUUGGUUAGUGAUUGAGCUUAUAGGUUAAUGUGGAAUUAUCAUCUACUAAUUGAAAGUGAAUCGAGUUAUGAUGAAUAUUGUAUGUUUACUCUAAACUGUGCAUGCCCUGCUUGAAACUUGUUUACUAUAGGGUGUACAUUACCAAUAAAGGAAGUCUGAGUACCUUUCUUGGCUGCAAUGCACACCUUGCCAAAGUGACUAAGUGUGGGGUGACCCCAACUUGUGAUUAUGCAACAUGAUUGUUUAUUUCCAUUGUAAGAAUAUGUGUGAAGUUAAAAUAAGGCAUGGAAUUGUGUUAAAUAUGCGUACUUUGGGUAGUUCCUGGGUAAAUUGUACCCUGUACUUGUUGACUCCCCUCUUUAAUUACGAGUAAUGUUUAUUUAUGUGCAUAUUUGGGAACUGUCUGUAAUUGUGUCCGACUUGCUUUUACUUGAUGUGAUCCAAUGAGGGCGUAACUUAGGGACAUAAUUGUGGAUAGUUAUUGGUUGUACUUGCAACAAGUAGCUGCUUUAAAAUGUGGUAUGUGGACUAUUGAAUUGAUCCCAUGAGUGUCAUUGUGCUUGAACGUGGGUAAAGAUGUCAAGUUGGGCAUAAUUAUGAGUUAAUGUUAAUUUGUUUUGACUGAAAUUAGGGAAAGUCUAAGUACCUUAGUCCAAUACUUGAGCACCACCGCAAGCAACUAAGUGUGGGGUGUCUUUGACACUUGUCCAUACUUAGUUAAGGCUAGCCCAUUAUAGAACUCCUAACUUACUAGUUUGUUGCAUAUGCUCACUAACAGGUACAAUGGAUCGGAGACAACUAAAAGGAAAGGGCAAGGCUGGUACUUCUGAGCCAUCUAGGAAAUAAAGCAAGUAGUCAGACAGGCAAAUUGAUAGGGUACCAUGAGCACCACCAGUACCUUGCUGUCAGGCGAUAAGGUUUGGAUUUAAGGCGGUCUGCGCAACUGGCAAAAAGUGGUAUACAAAAU
rnacentral:lncRNA from 1 species